UGGAGGGAGCUGGGAAGGUCACUCCAGCCUUUCUGGAGAUGGGGUCUGUAAUUUAACAAACAGGUCCUGAGAGAACCGAGCUGGAUUUUCUGGUUUUGUGUGCUCAUUUCCAUCUGGGAGAGCAGUCACUUCUUCUGGCCAGCACAAGCUGCUCUCUGGUUACCUGGUGAUCCUGACCAGGGAAUGAUCUGCCCAAACAUGGACCUGCCUGUGUGUACCUUAAGCUGGCCUGUGUGGAUCUUCCAUGGAGAGCUGAAUGUGGAUCCUUGUGGGAUUCUACCAAUCUGCAGUGACAUCUGCAGUCUGACAAAUGAAACAUUGUGGGAUUCUGGGCAGUUCAGAAGAGGAGAUACCAAGAAGAGGAAAGCAUGUGCACAGAGAAGAGGAAUUAUUUGUGGAAUGCAUCAUCAGCCAAGUCUCAACACACACACUGGAAAGAAUUGGCGUAGGCUCACCUGGUUUUGCAUGCAGAGGAGUCUUGAAGUGUUCCCUAGACCUCCUCCUGUGUCUAUUUCCCUUGAAGAUUUAAAAAAAUAUUCAACAAAAAGUAGACCAGAAGGCAGCACCUUCACUCCCAUCCAUUCCUGAAGCACUGCAGUGGUAAAGACGAAGGGACUCAACAUCAGGACUUUCUUGUGGCAUUAAAAUACAAAAUUUCAGUUUAUUUCAGAACAGAAAAAUGAUCUUUUACCACUGUGGCUGAGUAAGUAGAUACACAUAUUUUACUUUAGGUUUUAUAUAGCACAUAUGUGUACAAAAUAUGAAAAUUUAUGCUAAAAGUCACAUAAAAAGUAAUUUGUAAUUACACUGUAAAACGGAAAAUAAUUUAGGAUUGAUCAAAAACUUUCAUUUGAUGGAAAGUCAAAUAUUUAGUUUCCUUUGUAAGGUUUUAAACCCCUUUUUAAACCCCUUUGAAUAAUUGGACAACUUUAAAGUAAAAAUGCCAUUUUAAAACAAAAAAGUGAAAGAAUACUGAAAAUAUAAAAUGAAACACUUUGGCCUGUCAUUCAUGUUUCUAAGAUCUCACUGUCAAAGCUUUUAAUUAAAUUUCAUCUAUCCUUCCGCUACUCCCUUGCAAAAAGUGUUUUUCAGCAUGUAAAUUACUCACUGAGGAUAAAUAACCUAAUCUACCCUUGAGACCUCAUGCCGCACUCCUUUCUCUGGUUUUCAUGCUUUAUUUGCCAUUAUUUGCAUGCUCAAAUAACUGCCCUGAUGUUCCCUUACCCACUGAGCUGUGCACAGGAGUGUGCAGGACAUGCUCAUCAGAAGCUGAAACAGAAGGAUCUGUGAUAACAAUAUGCUGUGAUUGCUGCAGAAUGUGAGCAGCUGCCCUAAUAAAUUUCCAGAAGUGAGUUGACUGAAGCUCCA
rnacentral:lncRNA from 1 species